rnacentral:rRNA from 1 species
UAAUACGGAGGGUGCAAGCGUUAUCCGGAUUCACUGGGUUUAAAGGGUGCGUAGGAGGGCAGGUAAGUCAGUGGUGAAAUCUUCGAGCUUAACUCGGAAACUGCCGUUGAUACUAUCUGUCUUGAAUACCGUGGAGGUGAGCGGAAUAUGUCAUGUAGCGGUGAAAUGCUUAGAUAUGACAUAGAACACCGAUUGCGAAGGCAGCUCACUACACGAAUAUUGACUCUGAGGCACGAAAGCGUGGGGAUCAAACAGGAUUAGAUACCCUGGUAGUCCACGCCCUAAACUAUGGAUACUCGACAUACGCGAUACACUGUGUGUGUCUGAGCGAAAGCAUUAAGUAUCCCACCUGGGAAGUACGACCGCAAGGUUG